rnacentral:lncRNA from 1 species
AAAAACCCCAAUGUUUCGGGCUAGACUCUCACCCAAGAGGAGACGGUCUCCUCUAACUCACACACCAACAACUUGGCAACCCACCCUAGAUUCUCACACCCCCAAUAGAAGGUUCGGCCCCCUUUCUCUCAAAUAUCUUAUAGUGGAAUGCAAGGUCUGUUUGGUGCACAAAAACCAACUCUUUUUUUGGUUGCCGAACACAUGAAGAGAUGGGAUAGGAUAAGUGCCCGUUCAAGUUUGAAUUCCAAUCUCUUUUGAACUCAAACCAAACCGACCUUAUUCCCAUCCAUUCUCUGAUCAAAGAAGUAUCGAACAUGAGUAGAUGGGCAUGGGAAAACUUUGGGAGCUUCUCCCUUUUGUCGCACAAAUUGAGCACUUCACAAGUGGCCGACGGCAAGGAUAA